GACCCAUUAGCUCAGUAGGCAGAGCACCUCCCUUUUAAGGAGGGUGUCCGGCGUUCGAGCCGCCGAUGGGUCACCA
rnacentral:tRNA from 3 species